AGAAUGGAUCUAGUACGUGUCGUCUCUUGUGAAUAUCUUGAAGUUCGAAUACGGCAGCCGAGUGUACUUGUCGGAAUGCUUAUAAACUUUUUACAGCACACACUGGCCAUAAUACCUUUCCCCAUUUCAAACAUUCAGUUCCAUUAGACACAAGCAAAAUUCCUCCGUCAGUCACAAAACACAUCAAACUCAAAAAAAUUGCGUUUUUAACCAUCCAAACAAACUAAAUCUAGCGUGGAGAAUGAGUUUAAGACUGUUAACUACAUAACCAGAGCAAGC